rnacentral:rRNA from 1 species
UACGUAGGGGGCUAGCGUUGUCCGGAAUCAUUGGGCGUAAAGAGCGUGUAGGCGGUCCGGUAAGUCCGCUGUGAAAGUCGGGGGCUCAACCCUCGAAUGCCGGUGGAUACUGUCGGGCUAGAGUGCGGAAGAGGCGAGUGGAAUUCCUGGUGUAGCGGUGAAAUGCGCAGAUAUCAGGAGGAACACCGAUGGCGAAGGCAGGUCUCUGGGCCGAUACUGACGCUGAGGAGCGAAAGCGUGGGGAGCGAACAGG